ACGGGUGAGUAACGCGUGAGAAUCUUUUUUCGAGGUCGGGGACAACCACUGGAAACGGUGGCUAAUACCGGAUGUGCCGAAAGGUGAAAGAUUUAUUGCCUAGAGAUGAGCUCGCGUCUGAUUAGCUAGUUGGUGUGGUAAGAGCGCACCAAGGCGACGAUCAGUAGCUGGUCUGAGAGGAUGAUCAGCCACACUGGGACUGAGACACGGCCCAGACUCCUACGGGAGGCAGCAGUGGGGAAUUUUCCGCAAUGGGCGAAAGCCUGACGGAGCAAUACCGCGUGAGGGAGGAAGGCUCUUGGGUUGUAAACCUCUUUUCUCAGGGAAUAAGAAAGUGAAGGUACCUGAGGAAUAAGCAUCGGCUAACUCCGUGCCAGCAGCCGCGGUAAUACGGAGGAUGCAAGCGUUAUCCGGAAUGAUUGGGCGUAAAGCGUCCGCAGGUGGCACUGUAAGUCUGCUGUUAAAGAGCAAGGCUCAACCUUGUAAAGGCAGUGGAAACUACAGAGCUAGAGUACGUUCGGGGCAGAGGGAAUUCCUGGUGUAGCGGUGAAUGCGUAGAGAUCAGGAAGAACACCGGUGGCGAAAGCGCUCUGCUAGGCCGUAACUGACACUGAGGACGAGCAAGUC
rnacentral:rRNA from 1 species